UGAAUGAUGCUGGUUCUGCUACCUUAAAAGGUUCUGACCCUUACAAGCAGUGAAUGUGUGCCUAUGACUCCAUCAAUGUGGCUGCUGUUGGAAGUGCACUAUUUAAGAGCUGUUACUCCAGGUAUGUUGCCAGCUGGAUAGAAACAAGGAGGUACCAAUCCAAAAAGGCUAACUUGACUGUUCUCUGAUAAAUGCAUGCCUUCUUACUUAGAACAACCCAGAACAAGAUAUAAAUCUGUUACUCCUAUUUCUGAGAACAGUAUGGUUCAGGCAGUCUGUUCUCUGCUGGAUUGUUUGCUGAUCCCUGGAAAUGUGCCAAUGGAUUGCCCUAGAGAGCUCUACUAGAUGGAAGAUCUUUGUGGUCAUAUAAACAUCUGUGCUCCUAUCCUUCAAAAGGUGCUGUUCCGUGGAGAUACUCAGGAGCAAGAUAUUGUCUGUAACAAGUCAUCUCCGUGGUCUCACAGAUACUUAAAUUUAAACUGAAUUUUUUGUACCUUAGUUUAUUCUUUGAAAUGUUUCCAAAUUCAUGUCCAUUUAGAAUCCUGCAUUAUCAGAACUUAAUUGCCUUUUUGCUCCUCAAACCGAAUGGAGAGAUUUGGGGAAAAUAAUUCUGCAGUGCGUCUGAGUGAAAUCAUGAACCGAUGUAAACUGUUAUAGCUUCUCCAAUGGACAAUCAGCCUUAGAAAGUUUUCAGAUACUCUUCUGUUCUGAGAAGGACUUUUUAGCUAAUGAUUGUCCUAUGACCAGGGCAGUAAAGCACAAAGGCAUAACACUUUCCAUUGCAAACAGAAGCUGAUGAAAGGAGCUCCUAGGCAGAAAGGUUGUGUCCUCCUCAUGCAGGAAACUUCUUAAACAAACCAAAUAGGUGAAGUCAGCAUCACAGGGGCUUUCUCUCCAAGGAUAUCACACCCAUCAACUGUACUGUGGCAUAAAGUUGGUGAGUUUAUGAACCUUUAAGUAUUUACUAUGAAGUGUUAGUAGUAUUGCUUCAGAUUUUAAAUCAAGUCAAUAAUGUAAAACAUCCACUGCUCCUUCUAAGAAAUAUGAAGAGAUGAACAAAGAAUUGGACUUCUCUGGUUGUCUGCAACUCUUCUGUCCACUGCUCUUCAGCUAAGUCCCUCUUGUUAAAUGCUUUGCUAGCAAGUCCCUCUGCAAAUCACAGCAGGUGAAGAACUGCAUGGCAAUUCAGAAACAAAUAUAUUGUGUUGACUUUCCAUUGUGUUUACAAAUUUUCUUUUGGUGAGCUGUGAUGGAAUGAUUUUGUUCUGUCAUGAAUAGCUCGAAAUGGCUCCUCUUAUGUUACUUUGUGUUUGCGCACCAAAGCUUCUUCCUAUAAAAGGCAUUC
rnacentral:lncRNA from 1 species